AUGUAUGCUGGUUCCAAUCCCAACUCGGAGAUAAGGAACUCGGACCUGCGCUGCAGCGAUUCUUUAGUCCUGGACAACACUGCUGGACCCUUAGAAACAGCAAUGCCCACCUCAGCAUCCGUCCACGUGAAUGUUUUCUUCAAGAGCUCCACUUUGGCAGUGAUUUUGUCUUCGCUGAGGUAUGCAACAGCUUGUAAUGCAUGUUUGAACAUCAGAGAUCCGCGGGGUACACCAAGAAGACCUUCGACACAUGCCACUGCUGUCCGGAUGCGUUCCGGGCUGAUGCUGAGCAGCGAUGGCGUAUGUAUGCAGAGCCUGGCAAUAUCACAAGCACCUAGCCCGCACUCGCGCAGGAAGGCGACAUUGGGCUUGACCACCCGCUCGAGGUUGGACCCGAGAAUGGAGCCACCCGCUCGAGGUAGGGCUCAAAGGAGGUUCUCGGAGGACCCGAAGAGGGGCAAGAAGCCGUGCCUGGGCCAAGGAGCAGCGCCCGUGGGCCGGCACAGCACGGCCCGGCUAUUAAACGUGCCAUGGCGGGCUGUGCCGGGCCAGGCACGAUUAGCACGGGCCGUGUCGUGCCGUGCUGGGCCGGCCCGUUUGGCCAGGUCUGAAGGUGGGGAGACGAUUGGUUUUCCCGUGAAGAUGAUCAGAUGCGGAGGUGAUCGCUGGCUUCUUCUCUUGUCGGGAGCGAGGCUGCGGGAGGUCGUGCCGUCGCCAGAAGGGAGGUUCAAGGCAGCGUCGCGCGUCUGCUCUCGCGAUGGCCCAUGUUCGUCGCUCGGAACACGAACCGCCGCCGCAAUACGGCACUGGCUGCGGGAGGUCAUGCCGUGGCCAGAAGGGAGGUUCAAGGCAGCGUCGCAUGUCUGCUCUCGUGAUGGCCCCUAUUCGUCGCCCGGAACACAAACCGCCACCGCAAUACGGUAUGAACAUGCACUGAAAAACGAGAUCGCUCGAAACCUGAGUAUUCUCAGCGAUUUGGGCUUCCUGGCCGUCCGAUCGGUUCCCUUGAUGCGAUUCCGGCCGUCUGAUCGAGCCGCUGGAAGAUCUUCCGUCGCUCGUCCCACCUCCUCCUCUCCCUCUCUCGAUCCCCUCUGCCUCGCACGCCGCCACCGCUCGCCCUUGCGCUGCCUCCGCCUCAGCUCGCCCUCGCGCCGCCGCCGCCUCCGCCUCCACUCGCCCUCGUCUCUCCUCAUCAGGAGGAGCGCAGCUCACCGCCGGCCCUCGCAAGAGAGGUCAGGGUUAGGGUCUCGGCCCGGGGUGGCUACUGCGGAGCUCCUGGCGGGCUACCUCCUCUGCCUGCUCGCGCUCGCGGCGGCCAAGGCGACCACACUGCUCUGGGUCACGCGUCGUCGCUCCGCUCCACGACGCCACGCCGCUCCCCCGCGCCUCCUCCCGGUCCUCCAGGUCCACUCUCCCGCGCAGCUCCCCCGCUCCUUCCUCCCAGUCCUAAAAUCCUUUCUUCCCCCCCCCAUGAGCGCAGGAACAAGAGGAUGCAGACGAAGCAAGGCUUUGGCAUUCCGUUCCACCAAGUUCUUCCAGCAUGAGGUACACAAAGAUGAUGAGGUCAGAGCCUUGUUUAAGCAAGUGCAAGGAGAAGUCCCUGGAUUGCCUAUAAUUGUUAUGAAGGUGGCAUCUCAGAGGAUCAGUUGCUCUGUGACAAGCAUGGCAACGUGGCAUCACUGCAAAGUCGAGACUGUAGUGUUCAAAGAAGGCACCAAAAGUAUAAUAGAGCACCAUUUAGUGAGACAUAUAUAUGUUGAUUCUAAUCCACCAGUGAGCCCAUAUAUUCUGAUCCAUCCACUAAGCAUUUUUGCACCUCUCCAUCUCAAACUUGCUAAUUUCGUCUAUGGCUCGCGUUCUUUCUCUUUUCGUUGGGACGUGGACGUGGGUAUCGAGGGAAGGAUGCCGAAGUUACAUGUACACAACCCUUAUUCUGCUAACUAUGACUCUCUUUUGGAGAUCGCUUGCCUUUUGGAAGUUGUUGGCCUUUGGUUACCCCAAGAGGAAUUUUUAUGGCUUGCUAAAUGGGCCGUAGCUCCUCCCUCCCUAGCCCCACUUUGUCUCCCCUGUGAUUUGCCUGUUCCUGAUCUUGGUGGCUGGCAUGUCUCAAAUUUUCAUUGGGCAGGGCUACUAACGGUUCUUGCGGAUCAUGCUGGUCAUUCCUGGGCGCUGGAGUGGGCCAACUUCCUGACGAUGGGCAAGAUGGAGCUGAUCGGCUGCUCGGUGGUGACCAUGAGUAUGUUGUCAAUGAUGUGUGGUUCUGGAAUUUGGAGAUUAACAUUCAGGCUUUUGGUCACGGCACUCAGACGGGCAAUGCGCGCCAAGGCACGCCACUUAGCUGGUGGGGACCCCCAUGGUUGCCGCCGACCAGAUGCCACCUCUGCUGCUGAUGUCAUCGUCGUCCUCGCUGCCGCACCACACGACACUAUCGAACAGGAAAAGCAUGGCUGCCAGCACAGAAUGGAUGAGGAAGAGGUGAGCCGCCGCGCCAUCAAAGCUCUCAUGCCGCUGCUCCCUGUCGAGCUUGCACGUGCGCCGGAUGUGGUGGGCAACACAGCCCGUCCAUCUGCCGGCACCUCCAAGCAAUGCCUACAACAGCAGGUGAGCCCCUACUUGCAGUUUUUCUUUGCAUUCUUUGAAACGAAUCGAUAG
rnacentral:rRNA from 1 species